rnacentral:lncRNA from 1 species
UCUUUCUGCCAUGAUCGCAUCUUCCAAAUCAUAGAAAACUGCAUUUUGAAAUUAAACUCCUUCUCUCCUCUAUUGGUGUCAAGCCUCAGUCACACACUCACACCCUUGGAGCAUAUGAUGGAAGUCCAUAAUGGGUACAACUAUUCUUUUUCUUCAAACAAUAAAAUAUUUUGUACUUUGGGGUGACAAACAUAAAUAAACAUUUAGCGCAUGAUACUCAGAGAAAGUCCUGAGCAUAAGUAUAUGCAAAAAAGUUUCACCUGCAGAAGUUCGAUAGGUUCC